rnacentral:rRNA from 2 species
AGCAGCCGCGGUAAUUCCAGCUCCAAUAGCGUAUAUUAAAGUUGUUGCAGUUAAAAAGCUCGUAGUUGAAUUUCGGGGUUAGCAGGUCGGUCGUGCCAUCGGUAUGAACUGGUCUCGCUGAUCCCUCCCUCUUGACGAACUGUGAUGCCAUUAAUUUGGUGUCGCAGGGAAUCAGGACUGUUACUUUGAAAAAAUUAGAGUGUUUAAAGCAGGCUCACGCUUGAAUACAUUAGCAUGGAAUAAUGAAAUAGGACGUUUGAUCCUAUUUUGUUGGUUUCUAGGAUUGACGUAAUGAUUAAUAGGGAUAGUUGGGGGCAUUAGUAUUCAAUUGUCAGAGGUGAAAUUCUUGGAUUUAUUGAAGACUAACUACUGCGAAAGCAUUUGCCAAGGAUGUUUUCAUUAAUCAAGAACGAAAGUUAGGGGAUCGAAGACGAUCAGAUACCGUCGUAGUCUUAACCAUAAACUAUGCCGACUAGGGAUCGGAUGAUGUUAAUUUUUUAAUGACUCAUUCGGCGCCUUACG